AUGGAUAAUACAAAUAUUAAUUUAUGUUCAUACAAAAAAUUUAAAAAUAUUAAAACAAUGUACAACAAAAAAAGAAAAAAUAAGUUGGUAAAGCUACAUGUUAACAAAUCAAAACAUUUUUUUACAAACGAUGGUGAGUUAAAUGAUGAUAAUAAAAUAAAUGAUCAUCCAAAAAUAAACGAUCAUCCAAAAAUAAACGAUCAUACAAAAAUAAACGAUCAUACAAAAAUAAACGAUUAUUUGAAUAUAGACAAUUUUGAAAAAGCGGGGGUAGGGAAUGAAAAAAAAUUGAAAAAAAACGAUGAUAACACAAAUAAAUAUAAUAAUUAUUAUGAUAAAACCCAAGAAAGCACAAUUAAAAACACAAUUAAAAAAACAAUUGAGCAUAUGAAGGAUAAACAUAAUGCAUCACAUUCGAGGUAUACAGAAAAAGAAAAUGAACAACUGAUAGGGGUGGAAAAUAAUAGUAGCCUUAGACAACAUAAAAAUAAUUAUAUAAAGGAAGAAAAUGUAUAUCCACCGUGUUAUAAUCAUGAAGAUGGUUGUGACAGUAGUAUUGGAAGUAGCAGUCGUAGUAGUAGUAGUGGUAGUAGUAGUAGUAGUAGUAGUAGUGUAAGUAGUAUCAGCAAUGCCAGUAAUAUCAGUGGUAGUAGUAAUAGUAAUACAAGUAAUAGUACCAUUAGUAGUGCUAACAACGAUAACAAAGACCAGAGUGGCAAAAUCCAAUGGAAAAAAAACAAAUACAACAUUAAAAAAUAUAAAAACAUAAAAAAUUUAAUUAAAGAAGACUUAAACAAAGAAAUGGGUUUGAGUGAAAAUGAAAAUAGUGUUUUUUUAUGUCCAAUUAAAAAAAAUAAAAAAUCAAAUAGUAUACUUAAGCAAGCCUUAAUUAAAAAUACAAAUUUAAAAAAAUCAACUUUUUUAAAUUAUUCUUCUAUGGAUGAUAGUAAUAUUUUAAACAUUGAAAGUGAUAAUACAACAAGUGAAACAUCUACAGAUGAUGAGAAACAACAAAUUGGUUAUAGCGAAAAUGGUGGUCAUACAUGGUUGUCAAAUAAUAGAAUAAAAGAAAAUGUUACAUUUGCUAAGGGAGAAUCGCUUAAAAAUACAGAAACAAAACAUAAGUGGGAGCAAAUAAAAUCGUAUACAGAAGUAUAUUCAAAUGUAGAUACAAAAGAAAAAACGAUGCAGAAGGAAAAUACACAUAACAAUAAUCCUCCAUCUAAUAAAACAGCAUAUGAGUCUAACGCUAAUAAAGCAAACUUAAAAAACGAAAAUCAUAUUUUAUGCUAUGUGAAAAAUAAUACAGAUUUGAACGAAGUAAAAGAUGUGAUAAACGACACUAAUGAUACAAACUGUGGGAGUAAGGGCGAGGAUAAGCACGAAGAUAAACAUGAAGAUAAACAUGAAGAUAAACAUGAAGAUACACAUGAAGAUACACAUGAAGAUACACAUGAAGAUACACAUGAAGAUACACAUGAAGAUACACAUGAAGAUAAACAUGAAGAUACACAUGAAGAUAAACAUGAAGAUACACAUGAAGAUACACAUGAAGAUACACAUGAAGAUANNNNNNNNNNAUGA
rnacentral:lncRNA from 1 species